UACGUAGGCAGCGAGCGUUGUUCGGAAUUACUGGGCGUAAAGAGUGUGUAGGCGGCGCUCGAAGUCUGGUGUGAAAUCUCCCGGCUUAACUGGGAGGGUGCAUUAGAAACUGGAAUGCUAGAGGAUGGGAGAGGUAAGCGGAAUUCCUGGUGUAGCGGUGAAAUGCGUUGAUAUCAGGAGGAACACCGGUGGUGUAGACGGCUUUCUGGACCGUAACUGACGCUGAGACGCGAAAGCGUGGGUAGCAAACAGG
rnacentral:rRNA from 1 species